UAGGGAAUUUCGUCAAUGGGCGCAAGCCUGAACGAGCAAUGCCGCGUGAACGAGGAAGGUCUUCGGAUCGUAAAGUUCUGUUGAAGGGUAAAAAGAGCGGAAGAGAGGAAAUGCUUUCUGAUUGAUAUUACCCUUCGAGGAAGUCACCGGCUAACUACGUGCC
rnacentral:rRNA from 1 species